UCCACAAGCGCGGAGCAGCUACAGCGAAGGCCCGGUCACCUUUUUGUUUUAGUCUGGAGCGGGGGAUGUGUAGAAGACCCUUAUUAGAGGAUCUAAGGGACCUGGUGCCUGAAUGGGGGUGUAAGAGGUCUGAUAUGUAUGAUGGGGCCUGACCAUGUAUGGCUUUGAACACCAUAAGAACAGUCUUGAAAAUGAGCAUAUAUUUUUAAAAAGAAGCAAUACUGUGGCAGCAGCAAAAGAGCGGGAGCUUGCGUGGCAGAAAAUUGCUGACCGAGUCAAUGCGUGCAACCCAACAGGCACCAAACGGACUUGGCAGCAACUAAAGAUCAAAUAAAAAAAUGUAGUUCAAACAGCCAACAGAAAAAAGGCUGAGGCCCGCAAAACAGGUGGCAGUCCACCACCACCACCUCUCACAGAGGCUGAAAAGAUGGCCCUCAGUCAGAACAGUGGGCGACCCAUUGCUGAGGGCAUCUCUGGGGGGAGCUCAUCGGACCCACCCACGCCCCAGGACACAGGGGCCUAC